rnacentral:lncRNA from 1 species
AUGCAUCGACCAAAGGUCCUGAAGUCACUAGGUUUACUGCUGGAUUUGCAAAAGACAAAGGAAUUGGACGCUGGACUUUAUCAGUGUAAUACACAGAAAAACCAAAACAAUGCUUUAACUAGGAAAUGAAACAAUCUGCAAUAUAAUGUUUCAACUACAAGGGUUUUCUUAAAUUCCGUACUAAUGUAAGUAACCUCUGGUAUGGAUUGUCUAUAUUGUAAAAUUGAAACUUAGCACAACUUAAGGGCCAGGUGAGACAAUCAACCAGCAGUAGGAAAUGCUUGUGAUUUCAUCAAGCGCUGAUGCUGCCACAACCCAUAUCAAGAAGCCAUGAUAUCCAAAGUUGCACUGACUAUUGUUGUAGAAAGGAAGAUCACAACUACCUAUUCAUCCAAAAUACCAUGCUGUCCUGUUUUCCGAAUUGGCGAAUUUAUCCUUUAGAAAUAAAUAAUAGUUGGAAAGUAGGUGAAUCCUAUAAUCUCGUUUGGACCAUUUAACCUGAUAGGUUGUUUGCUAAACUAGUUUGUUUAAACUAAGAUAUAACCCUACGAACAAUACUGACAACAACAACAACAACAACAACAAAGCCUUUUCCCACUAAGUGGGGUCGGCUAUAUGAAUCCUAGAACGCCAUUGCGCGCGGUUUUGUGUCAUAUUCUCCAUUAGAUCCAAGUACUCUAAGUCUUUUCUUAGGGUCUCUUCCAAAGUUUUCCUAGGUCUACCUCUACCCCUUCAGCCCUGAACCUCUAUCCCGUAGUCACAUCUUCGAACCGGAGCGUCCGUAGGCCUUCUUUGUACAUGUCCAAACCCAUUUUGUGUACGUGUUGAUGCUUCACCGCCCAACAUUCUGUGCCUUACAGCAUUGCCGACCCCACAUUGUGUACGUGUUGG